rnacentral:rRNA from 1 species
AUAACGAACGAGACCGUAGCCUGCUAAAUAGUCCCGCGAACUUCUUGUUGGCGGCCGACUUCUUAGAGGGACAACUUGUGACCAACAAGUGGAAGUUUGCGGCAAUAACAGGUCUGUGAUGCCCUUAGAUGUUCUGGGCCGCACGCGCGCUACACUGAAGCACUCAACGAGUCCACCUCGACCGACAGGUCUGGGAAACCUUUUGAAAUUGCUUCGUGAUGGGGAUAGAUUAUUGCAACUAUUAAUCUUCAACGAGGAAUUCCUAGUAAGCGCAUGUCAUCAGCGUGCGUUGAUUACGUCCCUGCCCUUUGUACACACCGCCCGUCGCUCCUACCGAUUGAAUGAUCCGGUGAGGCCCCCGGACUGGGGCGACGCAUUCGGUUCGCCGGACGCGACGCUCCGGGAAGCUGUCCAAACCUUAUUAUUUAGAGGAAGGAGAAGU